UACGUAGGUGGCAAGCGUUGUCCGGAUUUACUGGGCGUAAAGAGCGCGCAGGCGGUCGUCCAAGUCGCGUGUGAAAGCCCCCGGCUCAACUGGGGAGGGUCACGCGAUACUGAUCGACUCGAAGGCAGGAGAGGGUAGUGGAAUUCCCGGUGUAGUGGUGAAAUGCGUAGAUAUCGGGAGGAACACCAGUGGCGAAGGCGACUACCUGCCUGUUUCUUGACGCUGAGGCGCGAAAGCUAGGGGAGCAACGGGG
rnacentral:rRNA from 1 species